AUACCUCGAUGAGACAUUUUCUUAGUAGCUCCUUGAACCUUUCCCAAAAGUCAUAUAAAGAUUCCCCAUCCAGCUGAUAAAAAUUAUUAAUUUCCCCCCUCAGUUU